CGAUGUCGCGCGGGAGAGCCCACUUGAGUGUGGGCGCCGAAGGAGCAACUCCUCCCCGGAAUCUCUCAGGCACAGAUACCGCACGACGAAG
rnacentral:ncRNA from 2 species